AGGAUUCAUGAACCUUUAUGCUUGUCUCUUUACUUCCUUUCUAAUUCAUGUAGUGCAAUAACCAAAUUGUGCUUUUGCUUCAGCUUGUGGGAGUGAUAUAAUAUGACAUUAGGCUUUAUAACAAAGUCCCUAAUGAAAUUAUCCUUGGUUCUUGAUGAAUCUGAUGAUGAUAUUUGUGGAUCCUCAACAACAAGAAUCUCUUUGAUUGCUUCAGGCAUGCUUUGCCCUUUUAUCAUCGUCUUCCAAUAUUCUCCCACCAAUUGGUACUAUAUAUAUAGAUUAACGUUACAAGUUUACUUGUUCAGGCUUUAGUGAAGUUCCCUUUUGAAGUUUUAAACAAUCUGAAUGAAUCUCCAUUUUGAUAUGUUGAUGAUAUUUGAUGUGAUUAGGCAGGUGAUGCAUGGUUUCUAAAUACUCCUGAACAAUCAUUGGGCUUCAUCCUUGCAGAUCAAGGUUUUGAUGUAUGGGUAGGAAAUGUGCGUGGAACACACUGGAGCCAUGGUCAUAGGUCUUAUUCAGUGAAGAAUAAAAAAUUCUGGGAUUGGAGCUGGCAGAAAUUAGCCCUGUAUGAUACGGCAAAAAUGAUCAAUUAGAUAUAUUCAGUAACAAAUUCAAAGCUAUUCAUAGUUGGGCAUUCACAGAUGACUACUGGUUUUAUUCAGAUGGUUCUUACCAUGGGUAUUCAUCAACUGAACUUCAAAAGUGAGUGGGAACCAAUCUCUUGGUUUCCUUGUGUGAUACGCGUCUAAGCUGCGGUAACAUGCUUUCAUCCAUAACAGGUU